rnacentral:tRNA from 1 species
UAUAUUUUAGUAUAUGAUGUACGAGGGUUUUUGAUACUUUAAGGAAUAGUUUAAUUCUAUUAAAUAUAA